rnacentral:lncRNA from 1 species
GAUGGUCUCCAGGCAAUGCCUUCCCACCUUUACCCAAUAAAGCUAACAUUCCGCACCAAGAUUCCAGAAUCAUCCAUUGAGAGCUGGAAGGGAUCUUAGAGACCAUUUAGUCCAACUCCUUGUUUUUACAGAUGGAACUGAAGUUAGAGAAGUUAUUUGUCUAAAGUCACAGAAGUAACAAAGAUGCCUCUUGGAGUAUCCAUGGUGAUGGUAAAGGAGAGCUCUCAGACAGAAGGGUCCAGAAUGAUCCUGAGUCUCCUCUUCUCAGUUCCUGGAUAAUGUGAUUUACAGAGCAGGUGCUUCACUGUUUAUUGACUGAGAAUGCAGCCAGUAGAGGAAUGGCCAGCUGGGUAUCAACCUGCCUUAAAUGUAGAUUCUGGCAGGAGCCAUCCAAUCAGAGAGAGGAUACAGAGGCAGCAGAGGAUACAUUAAUAAGUAAAACUUUCUGGUCAUUGCCAACUCAAAGUCUUCAAAGAGUGCAGUAUCGAAUGAUUCACAAUCACACAUCAGAAAAAAAAAAUUGUACUGCUCUGGCAAGUUCUACCAUGAUGAGAAGGUUUAAAAUUCAGUUCCAGCAAUAAACAAUAUCUGCUUUCCAGGGAUUACUCUUGCUAAGUACCCAGAAGCUCAACAAAUUGGUGAUUCAUUCUUUGGCCAUGGCAGCCCAUGAAACUUUCCUUAUUCAGGAAAGUAUAAAUAUAUUUAUUCAAAGCAAUAUUUCAUUUAAUCUUUCAAUAUACUGAAUACACAGAAGUUCUAAUUUAUUAUUAUUUUUUAAUUACGAAGCAUAACUUACUUUUAAACGCCCAAUGCUAAUCAUUCUUCUCAAUGUUCGUUUGUAUAAGUCCUUUUUCAUGCUUUGAUCACAGGUACUUUCACAUGAAAGUAUUGACUGAGCUUAACUCCCUGGUUUAAUAUUCAAACAUGGGUAUGAAAUGCAAGUAAAGUUAUUUUUUAAUUAAUUGUUACUAUUAGCUUCUAUUAAAGGAACAGCCGGUUAAAUAAACUAAUAAAUUAUAGCA